UGGGCUGUAGCUCAGUGGUAGGGUGUUUGCUUUACAGGCGUUAGGCACUGGGUUCCAUCUCCAGCAGAGCAU
rnacentral:tRNA from 1 species